rnacentral:rRNA from 1 species
ACGAACGCUGGCGGCGUGCUUAACACAUGCAAGUCGAACGGAAAGGCCCUGCUUUUGUGGGGUGCUCGAGUGGCGAACGGGUGAGUAACACGUGAGUAACCUGCCCUUGACUUUGGGAUAACUUCAGGAAACUGGGGCUACUACCGGAUAGGAGCUCCUGCUGCAUGGUGGGGGUUGGAAAGUUUCGGCGGUUGGGGAUGGACUCGCGGCUUAUCAGCUUGUUGGUGGGGUAGUGGCUUACCAAGGCUUUGACGGGUAGCCGGCCUGAGAGGGUGACCGGCCACAUUGGGACUGAGAUACGGCCCAGACUCCUACGGGAGGCAGCAGUGGGGAAUAUUGCACAAUGGGCGGAAGCCUGAUGCAGCAACGCCGCGUGCGGGAUGACGGCCUUCGGGUUGUAAACCGCUUUCGCCUGUGACGAAGCGUGAGUGACGGUAAUGGGUAAAGAAGCACCGGCUAACUACGUG